rnacentral:rRNA from 1 species
UUAGAGUUUGAUCAUGGCUCAGAACGUACGCUGGCGGCACGCCUAACACAUGCAAGUCGAACGAAGUAGCAAUACUUAGUGGCAGACGGGUGAGUAACAUGUGGGUAUCUGCCCUUUGGCCUGGAAUAACACGAGGAAACUUGUGCUAAUACUGGAUAAGUCUUUACGGAGAAAGCUUUAUGCACCAUUGGAUGAGCCCGCACUUGAUUAGUUUGUUGGUGGGGUAAUGGCCUACCAAGACCGUGAUCAAUAGCUGAUUUGAGAGGAUGAUCAGCCACAUUGGGACUGAGACACGGCCCAAACUCCUACGGGAGGCAGCAGUGGGGAAUCUUGCACAAUGGAGGAAACUCUGAUGCAGCGAUGCCGCGUGAGUGAAGAAGGCCUUUGGGUUGUAAAGCUCUUUCGUCGGGGAAGAAAAUGACUGUACCCGAAUAAGAAGGUCCGGCUAACUUCGUGCCAGCAGCCGCGGUAAUACGAAGGGACCUAGCGUAGUUCGGAAUUACUGGGCUUAAAGAGUUCGUAGGUGGUUGAAAAAGUUGGUGGUGAAAUCCCAGAGCUUAACUCUGGAACUGCCAUCAAAACUUUUCAGCUAGAGUUUGAUAAAGGAAAGCAGAAUUUCUAGUGUAGAGGUGAAAUUCGUAGAUAUUAGAAAGAAUACCAAUUGCGAAGGCAGCUUUCUGGAUCAUUACUGACACUGAGGAACGAAAGCAUGGGUAGCGAAGAGGAUUAGAUACCCUCGUAGUCCAUGCCGUAAACGAUGUGUGUUAGACGUUGGAAAUUUAUUUUCAGUGUCGCAGCGAAAGCGAUAAACACACCGCCUGGGGAGUACGACCGCAAGGUUAAAACUCAAAUGAAUUGACGGGGACCCGCACAAGUAGUGGAGCAUGUGGUUUAAUUCGAAGAUACGCGCAGAACCUUACCAACACUUGACAUGUUCGUCGCAACUUUAAGAGAUUAAAGUUUUCGGUUCGGCCGGACGAAACACAGGUGCUGCAUGGCUGUCGUCAGCUCGUGUCGUGAGAUGUUGGGUUAAGUCCCGCAACGAGCGCAACCCUCACUUUUAGUUGCCAUCAUUAAGUUGGGCACUCUGAAAGAACUGCCAGUGAUAAGCUGGAGGAAGGUGGGGAUGACGUCAAGUCCUCAUGGCCCUUACGUGUUGGGCUACACACGUGCUACAAUGGUAUCUACAACAGGAAGCGAAACAGCGAUGUUAAGCAAAUCCUUAAAAGAUACCUCAGUUCGGAUUGCACUCUGCAACUCGAGUGCAUGAAGCUGGAAUUACUAGUAAUCGUGGAUCAGCGUGCCACGGUGAAUGCGUUCCC